ACGAACGCUGGCGGCGUGCUUCACACAUGCAAGUCGAACGCUGAAGCUUGGUGCUUGCCCUGGGUGGAUGAGUGGCGAACGGGUGAGUAAUAAGUGAGUAACCUGCCCUUGACUCUGGGAUAAGCCUGGGAAACUGGGUCUAAUACUGGAUACGACAUGUCACCGCAUGGUGGUGUGUGGAAAGGGUUUUACUGGUUUUGGAUGGGCUCACGGCCUAUCAGCUUGUUGGUGGGGUAAUGGCUCACCAAGGCGACGACGGGUAGCCGGCCUGAGAGGGUGACCGGCCACACUGGGACUGAGACACGGCCCAGACUCCUACGGGAGGCAGCAGUGGGGAAUAUUGCACAAUGGGCGGAAGCCUGAUGCAGCGACGCCGCGUGAGGGAUGACGGCCUUCGGGUUGUAAACCUCUUUCAGCACGGAAGAAGCGAAAGUGACGGUACGUGCAGAAGAAGCGCCGGCUAACUACGUG
rnacentral:rRNA from 1 species